UGGGAAAGACCAGAGGUACUCGCUGAUUCACCGCCACCAGACUACACGGCACAGCGCGCCGGAAAAGGUAGUUUGGAGGUUGUAAAACAACAAGUAUC
rfam:Chaoyang virus, complete genome